ensembl:lncRNA
AUUAAGUCUUUGUCAAUUGUGUAUGGUUAAGUCAAGCAACGACAUAAUGCUGAAAGUGCUGUGGAUUACCCUUGCGAUUUUGUGGAUUAUCAAGAAUGGCACCGCGCUCACGCCACUACAGCCAGAUGUUACCAGAGGCGCACUACUCACCUACAGCUGGGAUGAGCUUCUGCGACUCUGGUCAUCUAUUCUAUGCAACGAAAAACCGGCUGACAUCCCUCCAGAGAUCCGACCGAGGAAAAGGGGCAGCCGUGGCGGGGUCCAUGCCCGGUUAAGAAGGCGUCCUUUUAGACCUCCAUUACCUUCUAUCAUAUUGGCCAAUGUACGUUCCCUCCGGAAUAAGAUGGAUCAACUUCAUGCCAAGUGUCAGGGGGAGAGACUUUUCAGGGACGCGUGUAUCAUCGCAUUAACUGAAUCCUGGCUCGAUGAAUCCAUCUCGGAUCAACUUGGACAACUUCCUGACCGUCCGGGCUGACAGGACUAUGUGUUUUUAUAAACAAGCGCUGGUGCACCAACAUAAAAAUACACAGCGUCAUAUGCACACCGGACAUAGAGAUAUUAACACUAUCACUACGCCCCUUCUAUCUUCCAAGAGAAAUCCCCACGGUGGUUUUUGGGUGUGUUUACUGUCCACCUGACGCGAACAUACAAGCAGCAGCAGAGCUAAUAGCGGAGAAUGCUAACUCAAUGCUAAGUAAAUACCCCAGAGCCCCGGUGUUUUAUAUGGGCGAUUACAACAACUGCAGUCUUGACAGCGUACUGCCUUCCUUCCAUCAGUAUGUGCAUUGUCCCACAAGGAAGGGAAAUGUCUUGGAUCUGUGUUAUGGGAAUGUUUUGGAUGCAUUUACUGUUCGGGCUCAUCCUCCUCUGGGCUCCUCGGACCAUAAUGUUUUGGUUUUUCUUCCUGGUUACAGACAGGAACUGAAGCGCAUCAAGCCACAAGUCCACAGCGCUCCACAGUGGUCGGCGGAUGCAAUUGCAUGUCUGCAAGGUUCCCUUGCAUGCACUGACUGGACCGUUUUUAACGGUACUUUGGAUGAGAGACUGUCAGUUAUAACAGACUACAUAAAGUUUUGCAUAAGUAACUGUAUACCAACAAAAACAUACAAAACUUUCCCUAACUCUAGGCCUUGGAUUACUCCACAGAUUAAACAAAAACUGGCUGAGAAACACAAAAUAUUUCAAUGUAAGGAUUGGCUUUCACUCAAAAUACUGGACAGACAGAUAAAAAAUGACAUUAUUAAAGAAAAACUUAAAUACAAAGAGAAAAUAGAACAUGAGUUUUCUACAAUGAACACAAAACAAGCCUUCAAGAAAAUAAAAAUAUUUAUGGGACAGAAUGUGAAACAAGAUCAUAGCACUAUUUCUAACCCCACAACAUUUGCGAAUAGCCUUAAUACCUUCUACUCCAGAUUUGACAUCACUGAUUAUUCAGCCGUCUGCAAUGAGCUACUUAACGCUCUCCCUUCAGAUCUACCGACAACUCCUCCCUUUACAGAGGUGGAUGUUCGACAGGAGCUGAGUAGGUGUAAAAUCGGCAAGGCCAUGGGGCCGGACGGCAUCCCUGCCAGGGUGCUCAAGCUUUGUGCAAUGGAACUCUCCCCGGUUCUGUAUUCCAUAAUGCAUGAGUCAUACAGUACAGCACGGUGGCCCACCCUAUGGAAAAAGUCCACCAUCAUUCCUCUAUCAAAGAAACCCCGUCCAUCAGAGCUCAACCAUUACAGACCUGUUGCUCUCACACCCAUAGCAAGCAAAUGUUAUGAAAAACUGAUUCUGCGCACCAUCUUGUCAACUGUCAAUCCACAGCUGGACAAACAUCAGUUUGCCUAUAAAGCCAGGCGAGGGACAAAGGAUGCUGUUGUAUGUCUCCUUCAUUCCCUCCUUCAACAUCUGGAAGUAUCUGGUAACUCUGCUGCAGUUCUUUGUGUGGACUUAAGCUCAGCUUUUAAUACAAUUCAACGUCAUCAGAUGAUUAAAAAACUACGUAAGCUCAACGUUGCACCUCAUCGCAUCCAUCUGAUUCACAGUUUCUUGAGCAACAGGCCACAGGCUGUGAGGAUAGGGUCUGUCACAUCGGAUACCGCCAUAACUAACACUGGAGCUCCUCAAGGCUGUGUCCUCUCUCCCUUUCUUUACACACUCUACACUAAUGACUGUAUUAGUCCUUCAACCAUCACAACAUACUACAAAUACUCAGACGAUACUGCAAUCCUGGCUCUCCUCAACGAUUACACUAGCAUUGCUGCUUACCACGACACGAUAUCACACUUUACACACUGGUGCACAGACAAUUUUCUCCAUCUCAACGUUGAGAAAACAAAAGAACUGGUCUUUAAUGCACCCAGCCUCAGUCGGUUCUCAAUUCAUGGCAACAUGAUAGAACAGGUUGAGAAAUUCAAAUAUCUUGGACUCACCCUGGAUAACAAGCUCACUUUUGACUAUCACAUAAAGGACAUCCAUAAACGCUCCCAACAGCGUCUGCAUAUUCUACGAAAAUUAAGUUCCCUUUACAUUGCCCCUCAUCUUCUGUUAUUACUGUACACAAGUAUUAUCCAGCCCAUUCUGUUAUACUGCUCCACCAGUUUUUACACCAUGCUGUCAGUCACCAACAAAAACAAACUGAAUAAAAUCACACACAUAGCUUCAAAAAUAAUACACUCCCCUACACCCAACAUCUCAGAACUCAAUGACAGAGCAAUAGCCCGCCUUGCCCGGACAAUAAUAACAGACCCAGAGCACCCCCUCAACUUCCACUUCACUCUCUUGCCCUCCGGGCGAAGAUACAGGACCCUAACAUGGAGAAGGGCUCAUUUCAAAAAGAGCUUUGUACCAUCUGCAAUUUCAAUCCUUAAUAGGCUACAAAGUUGAACAUUCACCUUUUUGUGUUUUUGUUGUUGCUGUUACAUGUGUACAUGUAUGUAUGGAUGUGUAUUUUUUUUUAUUUUUUUUUUUGCCAGUUGCGUGUGCUGUAUGAUAAUCUGUGAGAACAAAUUUCCCGUUAAGGGACAAUAAAUUAUCUAUCUAUCUACGGUGACACUUAGUGGUAAUUUAUGUGACUACUAAGGCUUCAAUUGACAACCUUGAUCUGAAUAGAGCCCAACCAGUAUCAGUUUAGUUUGAAGAGGGU